ensembl:lncRNA
CAGCAAGGAGGGACGCCAAUAAGGUGUCUGAUAAGAUAAGUCUUAUAAAAUAUAUAGGUUUAUGAUAGUUAAGACUGAGCUAACAGAUGAGAAUCCUAGUCAUUGGCCAAGCAGCAUUGUACCUAAUACAAGUUUCUGUGUAUUCAUUUGGGCCUAACUCAGGCGGGCAGCUGGCGUAAAGCUCACAUGUGGCAGUGGGGCUCAGGCAGCUUUUGGCGGAAAGAUUUAUUGUAACAUUGCUGUGCCAGGCCUGGUGACAUAUUCUGGCUAUUCUAACAUUCAGAAGAUGGAGGCAGGGGGAUUGUGAGUUUGAAAUGGUCUUUUUACUUUCCCUGUUGCCCUGGUGAAAACUACCAGGUUUCUCUUUAAUGGCACUUAUCUCUUUAAUAAUUAAAGCUGCUCUGUCAUAUGCACUCACCUCAUAUGAAAUGUCAAACAAGCUCAUCAUAUUCACAAAAGUUCCUAUUUUUUAUGUUCUACUUUUUGCUCUUUCUUGGUGUAUCCCUGGAUAAAAGUGAUGAGCAAUAGCCAUGGCACAGCCUGAAUGCUAUGCUGACUUGACGUUUCCUCUUCCAAAGACAUCAGUCCCUUACUCUCUAUUGCUGGUCACUCGUGUGCUGUGGUAUGCAUACAGAGGUUAGAUGACAAUGUGAAGGCUAUCUGCUACUAUUUGGCUCAAUCUCAUACAAGUUGUCAGGACAUACACAGAAUGCUGGCAAGUUCCUUGACAAAAUGCAUCAAUAAUGUUCUCUAGCCCCAUUCUCAACACAAUCCUUGCUCUCCUCUGAAAUUCUUGAGCCAGGCCUAUACUGGUCACAUUUCUCUGUGCCCUUUGUCUCCUAACCCCCCACUAGAACAUCCCAUUAAGCUCUACUUAGAGUAAUCAAGGGCUUUUCUAACCCAAAGUUCCAGACUCUUCCACAUUUCACCUGUAAACUAGUUCCAAAGCCCAAAACCAUGUGAUUGUCAACAGGAGCAACAACCGCACUCCUGGUACCAAUUUUGACUUUGUUGCUUUCCCUGUUGCUAUUGUAUAAUGGCUUGGUAAAGCCAGCUUAAGGGAAGAUACGGUCAGUCUGUCAUUAUGACAAGGAAGCCAUGAUGCCUGGAGCUAAGGAAGAUGGUCACUGUCUUGAGGAAGAUGUGUCUGCUGUCGGACAGCAGGGAGUGAUGAAUAUUGGAGGUCAGCCUCCUUUGCCCUUUUUACUCAGUCCAGGACCUCAGCCCGUGGAAUGGCGCCACCCCAAUUAAAUCUGAUACUUCCACCUCCACUGACCUAAUCUAGAUAAUCUCAAGGGCAUGUCAGAGGUUUGUCUCAUUGAUGAUUCUAGAUCCUGUCAAGCCUGACAAUCACAUAAAUAUAAACUACCACAGAGACAGUGGCUCCCAAAAACAGCCAUGCUGAUGGAGAUAAGUAACACGAGAAAAUGACUGCAGACAAGUGAAAUUUCCUUUAAUAAUGUACUGGGAACUGAUAGAAGCAUCUGUAAUAGAAAAUACAUCUACUCUACAGAUUACAAAUAGUCAAUAGAUAGACGAGAAGAAGAUGCCAAACACCCUCAAUCACCUAGGAGAGGACAUCAAAACUACAAGGAGAUGCUUCCUCUCACCUGUCAGGGAGCUGUUAUCAAGAAGACAAAUGGUAACAAAUAUGCGAAAAGCUGUGGGGGACAGGAGCCCUGUCCACUGUUGACAAGGAUGUACAGUGAUUAUGACAGAUGAGAAGAACCUCAAUGGGGGGCCUCCAAACUAUUGAAACAGAUGCUAUCUCCAUCUCUCAAGUGAUACAGCAAUUAUAAAGGUUAAGAGGGUAAAUCACCUGUUAGACUUCCUCACCACAAAAACAAGCAAGCAAAGAGAUGCCAGGAGCUGUAGGAUUUGGUGGAUGUGUCUAGUAUGGUGAAAUUUGCAUAUUCCCAACUCAUCAAGUUGUCCACAUCAAAUAUGUAUGGUUCCUCGUGUAUCAGUUAUCCUAAAAUGAAGCUGGCAGAAAACCAGGAGGUGGAUCUUAGAGUUUCUGAGUUGCUUCCACUGUCAAAACCAAACUGACCAAAGAAUUCCAAAGCACUCAGCAUUUUUGUUGGCUUUGGUAAAUUGGAGUCUGAUCAUUUCCCUUUUUUUUUUAAUUAAAUAUUUUCUUGAUGAUUUCUCUGUCACUUGUGUUUCAGGCACACCCUCACUAGGUCUGUGUCUUACUUUGUGUGAGAAAACACUGUGGCUAAAAACACAGAAGGAGGAAGAGGCUUUCUUUCAGCUUUCAGUCCCACAGCACGGUUGUGGUGGCUUGAAUGAAAAUGGCUCCUAUAUCCCCAUGAAGAGUGGAACAAUUAGGAGGGGUGCCCUGUCGGAGUGGUUGCAGUGUUGUUGGAGGAAGCAUGUCAUUGAGGGCGGGCUCUGAGGUCUCAGAAGCUCAAGCCAAGCCUAGAGGUUCACUGUCUGUUCCUGCUGCCUGCAGAUGCAGACAUAGGACUCUCAGCUACCUCUCCAGCACCAUGUCUGCCACCAUAACAAUAAUGGAUUAACCCUCUAACCUGUAAGCCAGCCCCAAUUAAAUGUUUUCCUCAGCCAAGGCAGUGGUGGUGCACGCCUUUAAUCCCAGCACUCAGGAACCAGAGGCAGGUGGAUCUCUGAGUUCAAGGGCAGCCUGGUCUACACAAUGUGUUCCAGGACAGCCAAGGCUACACACCCUGUCUCAAAAAGUCGGAAAAAAAAAAAAACUUUUCCUUUAUAAGAGUUGCCUUGGCUCAUCACUGGAGCAAGUCAAGCAGGGCAGGAACCUGGAGGCAGGAGCUGAUGCAGAGCCACACAGGAACACUGCUUACUGGGUUUCCCCCCAUGCCUUUUCAGCCUGCUUUCUUUCAGCAUCCAGCACCACCAGCCCAGGGGUGGCACUGUCCGGUUAGCUGGGCCCCUCCUACAUCAAUCACCAAUUAAGAAAAUGUACAGAAGGUACUCUGUAGGCUACUAAAAGAAACAUGGACACCAACCCAGUCACAAAACCUUUGACCUACAAUCUGUCCCACCUGAAAAAUAGGGCAAUGGUGCCACAGAACUUGUGGGAGUGGCCAAGCAGCAUCUGAUUUGAUUAAAAGCCCACUCCACAAAAAGGAAUGCAUACCCAACACUGCUUGGGUAACAAGAACCAGAGACUAGAUAGUUCAGAGACCUAGGGGAAAAACAAAACACUACUGGCAAGGGAGAAAAGGAGGGAGGGAAGCAGAGAGGGGAGAGAGAGAGAGAGAGAGAGAGAGAGAGAGAGAGAAGCUUCCUCUGGCAGAAGAUGGGAAGAGAUGCAGAGACCCAUAGUAGAGAAAGAGGCUAAAUUGGAGGUCUCCAUCAAAUCCCUCCCCUCAGAGCUCACAGGGUCCCUUGGAAGGAGAGGCUGGAG